GUAGUCAUAUGCUUGUCUCAAAGAUUAAGCCAUGCAUGUCUAAGUAUAAGCAAUCUAUACAGUGAAACUGCGAAUGGCUCAUUAAAUCAGUUAUCGUUUAUUUGAUAGUACCUUACUACUUGGAUAACCGUGGUAAUUCUAGAGCUAAUACAUGCUAAAAACCCCGACUUCGGAAGGGGUGUAUUUAUUAGAUAAAAAACCAAUGCUCUUCGGGGCUCCUUGGUGAUUCAUAAUAACUUAACGAAUCGCAUGGCCUUGUGCCGGCGAUGGUUCAUUCAAAUUUCUGCCCUAUCAACUUUCGAUGGUAGGAUAGUGGCCUACCAUGGUGGCAACGGGUAACGGGGAAU
rnacentral:rRNA from 1 species